CACCACAACCAGACAGCUUCCCAGAUGCUCCUCUUAUAACUGUCCCUGGCUUUUCCCCUCCUAUGGCUUCUGAGCUCUCAUAUGAGCUAGGAUCGGAAAGCAGGCUUGAUACACAGGGUCUCCAGCUUUCUGAGAAGUGGACUGCACUGCUUGAUUGCUUGGACCAUGUUUCUUACAGGGGCUGUUGCACUUCCAGUUCCCAGACUACCCUGAGUCCUGUGAAGAGUCCUCCAUACCCACCUUACUGUCAAUGCUGCAAGGAUGUCCCGCUGCUGCAGGCCAGACAUAGAGGAGGCUGCAGACACAAAGGUACCAGGCACAUUCCAUUUGGCUUCAGGAAACUGCACAACAGAAAAACGAGUCACAGGGAGGUUGUGGGGGACAGAAGUCUCCAGGCCCUGCCCCACUGAAAUGAUGGUGUGACAUAGCCAGUGCUGGGAAGAGACCAGACUAUUUCCUCCCCGGAUCCUGUCCCAUGGCAGGGACCAGUGUCCAUUGACUCCAGGCACUUCUGGUACAUCUGCCUUUUUUUUUUUUAAUCCAAAUAAAACAUAAC